UUUUUUAGCAUUAAACAUAGAGUUAUAAAAUCCGCUGGCUGUAACUGUAAUUCUGACAUUUCAAACAAAUUUUGUUCUAUAAACAGCAUCACAUCCAUCUAUUCUUAUUCACGUGCUUCGAAAAGUAAAAAUCACAGAUUUACGAAUACGAAUCAACAAGUUAAAAGUACAUACAUAAUAUUUAAGUACCUACAUGUCUGAGUAGGCACGAAAUCAUAAUAUUACGGUUUUACAUAACAAUAAAACCGAUAUUAUGUGCCGAGAAGGAAAACAUACAGCAUUGUAUUAUGAAGAAGCAGUGUGUACUUAGCUUAAAUUCCUUGUCUAUGUCCAACCAUAGACAGUCAAUUUAGUUCCAUCUUUAGCCGCUAGGUGCUGCCAGCAAGUAUAAAGGAAGCGCAGCCAUCUUUGAUCUUCAUAGUCUUCACCAGGAAGAACUUCCUGCAAUGCUGUAUGUUUUCCUUCUCGGCACAUAAUAUCGGUUUUAUUGUUAUGUAAAACCGUAAUAUUGAUGUGCCUUUGGAAAACAUACAGCAUUGUAUUAUGAAGACGUGUUUGUUAUCUGCUGGUGAAAUUAUUAAGCACAACGCUAUGAUGAAAUAGAAAGUCGACAGCGCUGCUUUAUGCAGAAGGAUUGUUUUACAGGCAAAAUUUUCUUUUCGGAAAAGAAAACAGAAUUUGGCAACAUCUGCAGACUUAGGAUCAAUUUUAAAACUGUAGCACCAUAUGCACAUCUUCUAGUUGCUGGUAAGUAUGCUGGCAAAGUGGAUUGACACCAGCUAAUUUUCAAUAAAUCUUCUCCUGUGUAGACCAGUCUAUUAUUUGUACAACCCCCCCCCCCCCGUUUCUAAGCUUUCGGGUUAAUGUUUACCCUGUGGAGGAGGCAGGUUUUGGAUUUCGUGCGAGUUAUCUAGCGUUCGGGAUCUGAGGGCUUGGAAACCCAAAUGCUUUCGCUCAGUCUGGAAACACUACCAGGUAGGUUCCCUAGACACUGUUGAAGUGAGUCAGUACUCUGGGGAAAAGGUUGAGAGGAGGAAUUCUCCAUGCUAGUUGCAUCCUCUACGGUCUGCUGAAGGUAUCCAAUCUUGGUCGGCGAAUGGGUUUAUAUCCGGAUGACCCCACUUUCGAAAAACUUUUGUGGUCACUUGUGGUAAAAAGUGCCAUUUCGCAGGUUGAUUUCCUCGUGAUAGCCUAUCGGCUACGAUGUUGUAUCUCCCCGAGAGAUUAUAAGCUGACAGUUAUCUUGAACUUAUCGCUUAGUUUAAAAAUCGAAAGGUCAACCGCUAGUGAAAUACUUUCAGAUUCAUUUUGAUUGUCACUACCAUUGCAAAUAGCUCUUUUGUGGUUGAGCCGUUUCAGUUGUUGAGCUGACCAUAGACAGGAUGUUAAUAUUUUGUCUAAUUGUAACCCCUACCCAUAUCCGAAGCUUCCGUUGCCAGGAAAUGGUUGGUUUUGUGUCUCGGCAAUGUUUGACAUGUGGCUCCGCGUCAGCACUGCAUUUGUAACCCGUACACAUGUCCGAAGCUUCCGUUGCCAGGAAAUGGUCGGUUUUGUGUAUCGGCAAUGUCUGACAUGUGGCUCCGCGUCAGCACUGCAUUUAAUUGUUAACACAUGCAGGAUGGCCUGUUUUUUACGGGGGUGUUUUUUCUUGAAACUUCGCAAGAAAAUUUGCAAGUUAACAUAGAGUGAUGUAAUUCCGUCAGAGUUUGAGCUAGAAUGUUGUUGAGUGGCCACUUUAUUUCUCGCAAUUUUUCAUCGAAUCCCUAGCCAUGUCAUCUCUUGAACCAGUGUACUAAUUGAUUUUUUGUAAGGCUGACUUGGCAGCCCAAAUAAUCAAAGAGCUUCACAGCUUAUGUGGCCUGAAGACUCAACUUGGACUUCUUUUGAUGGACCAGGAGGGACUUGCGUAGGUGGGAUAACACUCAACAUCCCUUUGCACGCAAUGUUUCCGUGACUGAGCAUGCUAUGCAAGCAAAAAAGGUGUAUUUGUCUUCAUGGACCAAGAGAAAGUCGCGUAGGUAGGUUAACAUUUGACUUCCCUAUGUACGUAAGGUCUUCGCGACCGAGCAUGCUAUGGGAGCAAAAAAGUUUAUUCGUCUUGGUGAAACAAGAUCAAGUCGUGUAGGUAAGCUAGCACUUCGACUUUGCACGCUAUGUCUCCGCGACCGAGCAUGCUAUGGAAGCAAAAAGGUGUAUUUGUCUUCAAGGACCAAGAGAAAGUCACGUAGGUACGUUAACAUUUGACUUCCCUAUGUACGCAAGGUCUCCGCGACCGAGCAUGCUAUGGGAACAAAAACGUUUAUUUGUCUUGGUGAAACAAGAUUAAGUCGUGUAGGUAAGCUAGCACUCUACUUUGCACGCAAUGUCUCCGCGACCGAGCGACCGAGCACCCUACAUAAUGGAAAUUGACAUGCCAGCCCAGAUAAUCCAAAAUCUUCACGGCUUCUGCAGCCUGAAGUUUCAACUUGGAUUUGUCUUGGUCGACCAAAAGGAAGUCGUCUAGUAGACACUAGCACUCGAGUUCCCUUUGCACGCAAGGUCUCUGCGACCCGCAUGUUAUAGAAGCAAAAAGGUGUGGCUCUGAAGCCAGACCGAAGGGUAGGCAUGUCAUUUCAUACUAACUCAUAAGAAGGUACCGAUUGCUUUCUGAAGGUACUGAUACUGGUACCUUGGUAUUGAUCCUCAAGAAGUAUCGACGAAAUUUUGCGACCGAUACUAGAAAAAUAUUCCUGAGAAAUGUUCAAUUUUAUCAUCCAGUCCCCUGGGUGGAGAAAGUUUGGUACCGAGGUGUCCGAAAACAGUUAGGUGUUUUAUCUUUACGACCUUGUUCAACUCUCGAAAAUCGAAAAUUGGACGCAUUGAUCCGUCGCUUUUCUUCCGCAGAAAAAACAUUUUUUUUUUUUUUUUUACGGUAUUUGGUAAUCGGUUACAAAUACGGUUUACAAAUUAUUACAAUUUUGGUGGCACUCAGUGCCUCCCGUCGGUGUCUUCAAUUGCCCCCUCUGGAUUGUGCCAGAUGUUACAGACUAUAAUUGUUUAUAAUGUUUGGUUUGCCUUUUGUACGAGGUUGUGACAAAUAGGAUUGUAGCCCUCCGAGGGACUGAAUAGAUUUCAAUUUAGUAUUAUCAAACAAAAAUUCCUCAAUGAGUGGUGCGUUGGUAACAGGAUACUUUGUUAGAGAUCACGGAAAUUAAACUUUGACGUCUUAUUUUUAUCCAUACGGCCUUUUCCGCAUACAAUUUAAGACGCUUUUACGGAUAACUUGUACGACGAUUUGCCAAAGUUUUCAGUAAUUAUGUUACAAAGAUUAUUAGUUUAAAUCUGUUGUGUUUUUGUCAAAAUUUCCGUAUUGACGAGAUCAAUUUGUUUACAACAAUUUUCGUUACAUUCAAUUGUUACACACAGUUGAUGCAUUAUUAGAUUUACAACGUCACUGACCUGGUGGGAUAACGAGCCGAUUCGAAGAUCGACCGUUACCUUUGAAUCCCGUCGUUUCUUACGCAGAGACUCCUUUUGUUCUUUUUCGCUUGACGAGCUGUUCGAACGCGAGGCGUCUCCAUCGCGUCUCGCCUGGACAUCUUCCCUCUCGGAAAUUAUGGAGCUUGACUCAACAUCACCUCCAACAGAUGACGCGUGAUUCAUGGCGUCCGAUGAUAGGAUCGGUAAAUAAUACUCGUAAUGAUUGCAAAAUAACACUCAUAGAAACACAAAAUAAAUAUUUUUUGCAAUUAAUAAGAAGUCGAAUAAGUAUUUGUGGAUUUGCGACUUCACAGUACGAAAGUACACAACGCUAUGUAGAUCAAAGAUGGCUGCGCUUCCUUUAUACUUGCUGGCAGCACCUAGCGGCUAAAGAUGGAACUAAAUUGACUGUCUAUGGUUGGACAUAGACAAGGAAUUUAAGCUAAGUACACACUGCUUCUUCAUAAUACAAUGCUGUAUGUUUUCCAAAGGCACAUCAAUCUACUGCUAAGUGGCGCUGUUUGCAAAACCUUUGCAUUUAACGUUUGGUAAUCACGCACAUUAGUUUUUUUAAUUUAUGCAGGUAUAUUGCACAUAUGUAGUACGUUACACUGUUAUUCAAUAUUUUCCAAAGAAACUAGGUAGCACAUACAAACAUUCGUAGGUCGUUAUUAUGGAUGUGACUUUUAGAAUGGCUUAAUGUAGGUAUACAAAAUUGCUUAAACUAAUCUACCAUAAUAAUAUUAUUAAUACUAAUAAAAUUAUACAGAAGCCGCAAUCGACUAGAAUUUCAUUUCUCGUUAGGAUUUGCGCUACAAGGAAAUGUUUGUUUGAAAUUGAAUGAAUUUUACGGAAGCGGAACAACAAGCUUAGAAAUACACGGACCUCGACGUUUAAACAUAAACAAACGAUUUAAUGAAAACAACUUUAUUGUGCUGUCUAGAUGAAUAGGAGCUUCAAUUUAAAUUUAUUCAUUUUUGACUAUAACAAUAAUGUAAAUACGAAUGAAAACUACCAUAUUUUCGCGGGCAAGUUCAAUGCACGCCUUACGACUGUGGUUACCGGAACCCGUAGACAAUAGGCGAGUGUUUAUGAGGGUGAAGUCUCAAUGCAUUGUAACUGCCGUCCUAUUCUUCAAACCAGAACGCGUCAAUCCUUCACCGGUCACAAUAGGUUACCACUAGUAAAAACAAUUGAAAAGAAAAAAAA